CCUACGGGUGGCAGCAGUGAGGAAUAUUGGUCAAUGGCCGUAAGGCUGAACCAGCCAAGUCGCGUGAGGGAAGAAGGCGCUAUGGGUUGUAAACCUCUUUUGUCGGGGAAUAAAGGUAUCCACGUGUGGAGAUUUGCAUGUACCCUAUGAAUAAGCAUCGGCUAACUCCGUGCCAGCAGCCGCGGUAAUACGGAGGAUGCGAGCGUUAUCCGGAUUUAUUGGGUUUAAAGGGUGCGUAGGUUGGGUUUUAAGUCAGCGGUGAAAGUUUGUGGCUCAACCAUAAAAGUGCCGUUGAAACUGGAAGACUUGAGUGUGUUUGAGGUAGGCGGAAUGCGUGGUGUAGCGGUGAAAUGCAUAGAUAUCACGCAGAACUCCGAUUGCGAAGGCAGCUUACUAAGCCAUAACUGACACUGAAGCACGAAAGCGUGGGGAUCAAACAGGAUUAGAUACCCGGGUAGUC
rnacentral:rRNA from 1 species